rnacentral:rRNA from 1 species
AUUGAACGCUGGCGGCAUGCCUAACACAUGCAAGUCGAACGGCAGCACAAUAAAGAUUUCGGUCUUUACGGGUGGCGAGUGGCGGACGGGUGAGUAACGCGUAGGAAUCUGUCCUGGAGAGUGGGAUAACCCGAGGAAACUCGGGCUAAUACUGCAUGACAUUGAGAGAUCAAAUGCAGGGGACCGAAAGGCCUUGCGCUCGGGGGUGAGCCUACGUCGGAUUAGCUAGUUGGUGGGGUAAAGGCCUACCAAGGCGACGAUCCGUAGCUGGUCUGAGAGGAUGACCAGCCACACUGGGACUGAGACACGGCCCAGACUCCUACGGGAGGCAGCAGUGGGGAAUCUUGGACAAUGGGGGAAACCCUGAUCCAGCGAUGCCGCGUGUGUGAAGAAGGCCUUCGGGUUGUAAAGCACUUUAGGUGGGGAAGAAAGGUAGCGAGUGAGUAACUUUCUGCUGUGACGGUACCCACAGAAUAAGCACCGGCUAACUCUGUGCCAGCCGCCGCCGUAA